AACGCACCUUGCGCUCCUUGGUAUUCCGAGGAGCAUGCCUGUUUGAGUGUCUUGAAGUCAUCAACCCCCUCCGUUUCGUGCGGUUCGGGUUGGAGCUGGGGGCUCUGCCGCAGCGAUGCGGCUCCCCUCAAAUGCAUCGGUUGGGCCUGUGGGUCGAACUCGACUGGGCGUUGUACCAUCCUCGCUCGACAGAGACGUUCCCCUCUUGCGCCCUUCCCCGACCGCCUCUCAGGGUGGCGGUCAAGCUUUUUGAAAUCUGACCUCAAAUCAGGUAGGACUACCCGCUGAACUUAA
rnacentral:misc_RNA from 1 species